GGAAUCGAGGCAAGGGAAAGAGAGACCCAAAGGGGAGGAUCUAGAUGGCUCCAGCCAGAAAGGGUCCAAACUAAAUCCUGUUUGAGAAGAGAGGUAGCUGUUGUGGCAGAGUCUCAGAGGAGGUAUUUUGGGGGAUUCCAGAAAGAAGACAAGUCUCAGCUGGAUGGGCUCUUGGCUCCCACUCCCAGAAAACCACCUUCCCUCUUCACUUCCCAGACUGGAAGUAACACCUCCAGUCUGUUGACUUCAAAGAUCCCACCAGCUCUCAGAACUCACAGCAUUCUCUCCCCUUCCUCUGCUGCUUCUCUGGCUGAUCUGUCAAUCCAUCUGGCAUCUGUCUUCCUUACCUUACAGGGAGCCACAGCAAACACACACAUCCAGACUUGGGACUUCCCGGGAGAGCUCCCCACGAUGCCUGAGAAGCUCAAGGGCAGCCAGCCAGCAGAGAAAACUUGUAAAAUGAACAGCUGGCCACAUGUCAUUGAUUGUGUCACUUUCUUGAGAGAAAACCACUACAGCUUCAAAUUGUAUGUGGAAGGGUCUUUUGAAAAGUACCUGGAAAGGUUGGGACAUUCACAGGAAAGUGCUGGACAGCUGGAAUUAAGAACAUUUAUAAGGGCCAUCUUGAUUGCCAUAUAUACCAUCAUCCACCAUGCAGAAGGCUAGAAGGAGACCCUGGGACCCAAACUUCUGCCCAAGAUUUGCAGCUGAAUGGGACAGUAAAUGUCAAGAUCAAUCCUUUCAUUUAUACAUGAGGAAGGCUCAGAAAAAUUAAAUGACUUCCUCCUCAAACCAGUAAGUAGCAAAGCAAAUAUUUGAAUAUAGCAACUGAAAUGACUGAAAAGCAACAACUCUCACUCAAACCAGGGGAACUUUCAACUCUACUUACUUGUCUUCUACACAUUGCCUUUUGUAAGGAACAUUCUUUACAAUCUUUAUACUCUCUGCCAAUAAUUUUUGUAUUUGUAUAUUGUCAAUAAACAAAGCACUGAGUAUUUAUUGACUGAUCA
rnacentral:lncRNA from 1 species